UAAUACGUAGGUGGCGAGCGUUAUCCGGAUUUAUUGGGCGUAAAGUGGGCGCUGGCGGUUCUUCAAGUCGGACGUAAAAUCUCCCGGCUCAACUGGGAGGGACCGUCCGAUACUGUUGGACUAGAGGGCAACAGAGGAAGGUAGAAUUCCCGGUGUAGUGGUGGAAUGCGUAGAUAUCGGGAGGAAUACCCGUGGCGAAAGCGGCCUUCUGGGUUGCCUCUGACGCUGAUGCCCGAAAGCGUGGGGAGCAAACAGGAUUAGAUACCCUGGUAGUCCACGCCAUAAACUAUGGACACUGGGUGCGGGGAGUAUCAACCCUUUCUGUGCCGAAGCUAACGCGUUAAGUGUCCCGUCUGGGAAGUACGGCCGCAAGGCUA
rnacentral:rRNA from 1 species